UGGGGGAGGGCACUGAGCCACCGGUGCAUCCUUUCUCUUCUGGCUACUGCCGCUCUCUCCCCAGGAGGUGAGGACGUCGAGCUCCCUGACAACUAAAGCAGGAUCCCUCGAUGAUGCUCUUUGAGCAUGGCCCCUCCAGGAGCUGGAACCGCAGCACAGAACCUCCUGCAGCUUCGUGCAGCUUCAAGGGUUGCCCCCAUCAACCCCCUUCCCCCUGCCAGGAAUUCCCCCGGUGCCCCAAGGACUGCCUCUCAGAUGCCCUCAGGCUGCCAGCUCUGUCCCGGCGGCAGCGCCGGGCACUCUGGCAGUGGGGCAGGGGAGGGCGCUGGAUUCAUACUGCCCCAGAGCAUUGUGAUGCUGCGUGGCCGGGUGCCGGCAUUAUGACGUGGGGGUGACGGGGCCCCUGCAGCCCUGCCCACGGCAGCCCUGCUGCUGCCCCUUCACCCAGCAUCCCAUGGAGAAAGGCCUUUGGGCUGCUGGCCCCGAGGCUGUGCCUGUGCCCAGAAGGCCCAGGAGAUGUCCCUGCCCAUGGUGGCCACACACUGGGCAUCGCUGCAGGGUGUCCCUGUAAAUAAAUCUGUAUGUUCAUACUGUAUCCGUAAAGGCUUUUAUACCCCGUA